CCCACCCCUUGCUCCAGCGACCACCCCCUCCCCUGCCUUCUUCACACAGCCGGCUGCGGCACCGCCGCCCGGACGCUACGGAGGAACCGUACGACGAUGGAAAGGCAGCAGCCCAGGCUGGAAGUGGCGCUCAAGAUGGAGGAUCUCCUCCACAGCUUCAUUUCAUCGGGAUUUGCUGGCCGGCCGGACGCCUCGGCUUGCUGGACGACGACGAGCUCGACGAGGGAUGGGGAGGCGGGAGGACAUGAAUCAGCACGAGCUCAAGAGGGAAGCAGAUCAUGGCGGCUAGGGUUUCCACAUCAGGUCAAUGGCCUUAGGGUCGGCCAGAUCUGGUCGGGUGAGAAGGCAAGGACACCCUCUGCCUACUCCCUUGCAUCGUCCUUGAGGCCCAACACAUCAUUGCACUUUGCUGGGAUUCCGCCCCCAGAGAAGUGAAGAUGAAGUGGUAGAUCUAUGGGUGAAUCCCGAAAUACAUAUAUCUGGGGCGUAGCUACCGCAGGCUGCUGCUACGUUACUUUAUUCCUCAGGUUGGUUCAUGCGUUUGUCUAUACAAUCCAAAUUCAGAUGCACCACAGGCAGAUCAACAUCCUCUAGCCACAAAUGUUCGUUUUACCAUCAGAGUGAGAAAUUAAUCAAGUAUCAAGCAAAUAAGACGACAUUGGUCUGUCCCUAAUGCCUUCUUUCAUGCCCUGGCGAGUUCAGAUGUUCUACUUCUCAUAGCUGCUUAUGAGCCAUAUUUACAGAUGUAAUGAUUAUGCAAUUAUAUUUUGUCUUGCCACUUUUCAUUUUUAUUCUAGGUCAUUUGUCCAUGCUCCAGAAAGUUUCGAUCAAAUUUCAUUGUGCAUGAACCAAGAUCUACAGAUGUAAACCAGUAUCUCAUUACAUUUUCAGAAAAGUAACCAAUAUUCCUGACAUGUCUGGUUGCUUGCAGGGGAGCCGUGUUGUUCGUGUUCUCCUCCACAUGUUUGGUCUGCUUAUGUGUGUUUCUUGUAUUAUCACUUACACAGUUUGAUGUAGGCUAUUGCUGGCUUGCUGCAACUGUUUCUCUGGCAUGUAGUCCCCUGCCUCCCCCUUGCACCACGUGUGUCAUAAAAGCAAGAAGUUGAUUACUUAGUAUGAAGUUCAAGAUAAUCUUGGUGUGAUCAUGAAACCGAGAAGUUGAUUCAAUGCAGAUAUGGUGGUCGUAGAUGGACAAGCCUGGUGGAGUGCCAGUGAGAAGCAACGUCUUAGAAUUAAACGUUUGAGCAGCAUGUGGUUACUCAGAGCAGAGCAAUAUGUUAUGUGGUGGUCGUAGAUGGAUAAGACUGGUGGAGUGCCAGUGAGAAGCAACAUCUUAGAAAUAAACAUUUGAGCAGCAUGUGGUUACUCAGAGCAGAGCAAUAUGUUAUGGUUGAUCAAAACAGUUUUCUUACUACCUGAAGUUCCAACCAUAGGUUGCAAGGAAGAUUGAGGGAACUGGAAGAGGAGUCAACGGCUGAACCCAAAUCUGCAAUAAUCAUAUAUACUCUCCACCAGUGCAGGAGCCUGUCAUUUGGUCUCAAUAUCAUCACUGGCUCAAGAAUUUGCUCUCUGAAAGCGGCAAUGUCAACGCGAAUUUUGCUAUGUUGAUGUAGUGGUCAGAGGACCGGAUUCAGUGCUACAUAUCCCGGGUUCACCUCUUUAUAGAGUGCAACAUCCCCGGAAUGCAGCUGAGGUGUUUCUCACUAAUUUCCCAAGAGGUGUAAUUUAUGGAUGUGGUGACUUGAUUUUCUGGUCGCACGUGAUCUUUACUCCGGUCUUUAUCAUGAUUUACCAGAAAUGGGAGUAUAAGGUUUAUAAAGGUGUCCGCACACUUACUUAAGAGUGAAUUCCCAAUUCAGUGUAGCAUGUGUUUUGAAUUUCACUAAUAUUGGCGGGGGACGAGUCACCCGCCUCCAUGAUUUGGAGAAAUUGGUCAUGCUAUGGUCUCUGCCUCCACGCCUCUAGCGCCUAUAAAUUGGUCAUGUACAUUGACGUGGAUAUUUGUUUGUUUGGCAAGUGCAGACUUUGAUGUGGUCAUGCUAUGGACUCUGCCUCUACAUCGACCCUGACAAGCAAAAUAUCAUGGAAGCAAUGUACAAUGCAUUUCUCAAUGGACAAUUUGUGUCCUUUACUUCUUGGGAUGGAGCUCUUUAAAUUCAAUAUCAAAUAUAAUUGGGGCCCAGGAAAGUUGAGUGCUUCAUGGCGGAAAUAUUAAAGACCCGUUGCAUAUAGUAUACAGUAACUAUAAUUUAGGAAAAUCUCUCCCAAGCUAUAUUCCUCGAGUUGGCAUAAUAUAAUAAACUUAGAUUUUGUUCAAUGUGUUACUUUUCAGUUACCCCAAACCAUGAAUGCUGCAACAAGAUUAUGUAGAUGUUGCUUUUGCUACUCCUUCCUUACUUCUAAUGCUCCAGAUAAAAAUGGAGUGUUAGUUAUUGUAAUAUAUAUUUCUCUGUUUCCAUGAUUGUUUAUAAGAAUGUGAUGCUUCGUUUA